rnacentral:rRNA from 1 species
UACGUAGGGUGCAAGCGUUGUCCGGAAUUAUUGGGCGUAAAGAGCUCGUAGGCGGUUUGUUGCGUCGGCUGUGAAAUCCCGAGGCUCAACCUCGGGUCUGCAGUCGAUACGAGCAAACUAGAGUGUUGCAGGGGAGACUGGAAUUCCUGGUGUAGCGGUGAAAUGCGCAGAUAUCAGGAGGAACACCGGUGGCGAAGGCGGGUCUCUGGGUAACGAACUGACGCUGGAGGAGCGAAAGCCGUGGGGAGCGAACAGG